UACAGAGGGUGCGAGCGUUGUCCGGAAUCACUGGGCGUAAAGGGCGCGUAGGCGGUCCGGUAAGCGUGUGGUGAAAGCCCGGGGCUCAACCCCGGGUCGGCCAUGCGAACUGCGGGACUGGAGCCGAUCAGAGGCAGGCGGAAUUCCGGGUGUAGCGGUGGAAUGCGUAGAGAUCCGGAAGAACACCGGUGGCGAAGGCGGCCUGCUGGGAUCGAGCUGACGCUGAGGCGCGACAGCGUGGGGAGCAAACAGG
rnacentral:rRNA from 1 species